GGCCGACUAGCUCAGUUGGUUAGAGCGUCGUGCUAAUAUCCUAGUACAUUAGGUGUGUUAACGCGAAGGUCUUGGGUUCGAUCCCCACGUUGGCCA